UACGGAGGGUGCAAGCGUUAUCCGGAUUCACUGGGUUUAAAGGGUGCGUAGGAGGGUAGGUAAGUCAGUGGUGAAAUCUUCGAGCUUAACUCGGAAACUGCCGUUGAUACUAUCUAUCUUGAAUACCGUGGAGGUGAGCGGAAUAUGUCAUGUAGCGGUGAAAUGCUUAGAUACGACAUAGAACACCAAUUGCGAAGGCAGCUCGCUACACGAAUAUUGACUCUGAGGCUAACGAACGUGGGGAUCAAACAGG
rnacentral:rRNA from 1 species